CAGGGGUCAAGGCUGGACUGCGGGCUCCCUCGCUGUGGUUGCCUGGGUGCUGGUCGUCCCGUGGUGCCGUUCAGCCUCUGUGGUUGAAACCGCAUGGAUCAAAAGUCACCUGCCAGCCGGCCCCGAGUCCCCCCCACCGCCACCACCCCUGCUCCAGCUGUGAGAGCUGUUUCCUAGGGGUCUUGAGUGGCUCCGAGUGGGCCUGCCCUCGGGAACAGUGGUAUUGCAACACGGGUCAGGGAGGGGGUGAUGAAUUUCUAUCGGUACGUGGUAAGAUAAUGAGGAGCGGCGGACGGGGCCUCUUCUUAGGAGCCACUAAAUCACCCCCCGGGACGGUACCUCCCCGCUGAGGCGAGCCUCCGAGGCCUGGGAAGAUAGUGAGGGAGGAGCUCAGAGCAGAUACCAGGCCCUGUGCCUGCAUGAUCUCCAUGAAUCGUCAUUCGCAGUCACCCCGUAAAGCGGGAGAGGAGCAGAGAGAGAGGGAGACAAAGGAUCCCAAACAGCCCGUGGCUGACAGCAGAGAGCCCCAGGUGGGGCUGGAACUCACCAAAGGUGAGAUCAGGACCUGAGCCGAAGUCGGAGGCUUAACCCACCGAACCACCCACCCAGGCGCCCCUCCGCUGUUGUUCUGAUGGAGGAUGCUGCUUGGGGUGCAGGGCAGGACUGCGUCUGGACCUCUGGCCUGGGGAGGCAGCCUCCUCAGGGUGAUCUGAGCCACAGAGAGAACCGCGGCCGAUUAUGGAGAGCAGAGGCCCACUGGCCGCAUCGCCAGGGCUGCUGCUGCUGCUGCUGCUGCUGCCGCUGCCACCUCACGGCCACCAGAGGAUCCAGGACCCUCCUGCUGUGCACCUCAGCAGUGGCUCAGGACAAGAGCCUAUCACCAUCAUGACCUUUGACUUCACCAAGAUCAGGAAAACCUCUUCCUCCUUUGAGCUUCGAACCUGGGAUCCAGAGGGAGUGAUUUUUUAUGGCGAUACCAACCCCCAGAAGGACUGGUUUGUGCUGGGGCUUCGAGAUGGCAGGCCCGAGAUCCAAAUGCACAACCACUUGGCCCAGCUUACGGUGGGCGCCGGGCCCCGGCUGGACGAUGGGAAGUGGCAUCAGGUGGAAGUGAAGGUCAUCGGGGAUUCGCUGCUGCUGAGUGUGGAUGGGGAGGAGGUGCUGUGCCUGAGACAGGUCUCUGGGCCUCUGGCCGGCAAAGUCCAGCCUGUCGUGAGGAUUGCACUGGGGGGACUGUUGUUCCCUGUCUCCAGUCUCCGUUUGCCGCUCGUCCCCACCCUGGAUGGCUGUCUGCGCCGGGAAAAUUGGCUGGACCAACAGGCCCAGACCUCGGUGUCUGCCCUGACCCGCAGCCUCAGAAGCUGCGCUGCAGAGUCCCAGCCUGGCACAUUCUUCCCUCCGGGGACUCGAGCAGAAUUCAGUCUCCAAGACAUCCCCCAGCCUCAUGCAGAGCCCUGGGCCUUCUCUCUGGACCUGGGACUCCAGCUGGCAGCAGGUUCUGGCCACCUCCUUGCCCUUGGGACCCCAGAAAACCCUCCUUGGCUCAGCCUCCAGCUCCAAGAUCGAAAAGUGGUGCUGUCCUCUGUGUCGGGCCCACAGCUGGAUCUGCCUCUGGUCUCGGGACCCCCUCUUCAGCUGAAGCUGGGCGAGUCUGGGGUAGUCUUGAGCCAGAGGCCUAAGAAGGAGAUCCUUGCCCUGCCUCUCUUGGAUCCUGCCUCCCUCCUCAACCUCUGGGUCCAGCCACAGGGGCGCCUCUUCCUGGGGGCUCUGCCAGGAGAGGCUUCUUCGGCCUCCUUUUGCUUGGAUGGCCUUUGGGCACAAGGCCAGAAGUUGGACAUGGACCGGGCCCUGAGCAGAAGUCAGAACAUCUGGACUCACAGCUGUCCCCAGAGCCUAGGCAAUGACACGGACAGCACCCAUUAAACCCCCACCUAAGAAUCCCCUCGAAUGUCACUCGUUCAUUCACUCGACACAUCUUUACGGGGUAUCUGCAACGUACCAGGCGCUGCGCUGAGCGAUGGGCUGUACUGAUGAGUAACCUCUCCCCCCCCCUUGGUUCCUGCCCUCUGGCUGCUCAAGGUCCCCGGGGGAGGCAGACAUCCAUCAAAGACUGACAAGGAUCAGCCAGGACCUAAGUGACCCCAGGGUAAGGAGGCUCCAGGACUGUGUCUGGGGUGGAAGACAGCCUAGGCUUCUCCUCGGACCCUCCCAGUCUCGAGUUUGCUGGUCUACAGCUGCUGCCACACAGGCAGAGUGCCUUUGGAGCGUCCUCAGCAUGGCCAGGAAGUCCAGAUUCAACUCUGGUCCCCUGGGCAAUGUUUGGGGCCCACCUGGGCCAUUGGGUAUGUCCAUUCGACCGAUAGUCACUGAGGACCUACUGCGUAUCAGGCAUUGUUCUAGACGCUGAGGAUGCCUGGAUGAAAAAGACAGACACGCCAACUUCCCUGUGAACACCGAUGCUGCAAUGAAUAGCAAUGCUCCCUCCAUCACACCCCUCCUCAUGCUGACCCUCACAGGGGAAGAUGUGCACGGAGCAGCAGGUUCCACAGCCUUCCCCUGAAACGACCCGGUCCAAAACGAGGAUGUGGGAUCCCUUGUGCAGAAGGCAGGAAAAAAGUGCCGCUCACGGUACCGAAAGAGAGCAUGUUUUCAUUUCUUC